GUGCCAGCCGCCGCGGUAAGACGAACCGUGCGAACGUUGUUCGGAUUCACUGGGCUUAAAGGGCGCGUAGGCGGGUGCUCAAGUCCGGGGUGAAAUCCUCCAGCUCAACUGGAGAAUAGCCUUGGAUACUGGGCACCUCGAGGGGGGUAGGGGCGGGCGGAACUUCCGGUGGAGCGGUGAAAUGCGUUGAUAUCAGAAGGAACGCCGGUGGCGAAAGCGACGGACUGGACCUCCACUGACGCUGAGGCGCGAAAGCUAGGGGAGCAAACAGGAUUAGAAACCCCUGUAGUCC
rnacentral:rRNA from 1 species